rnacentral:rRNA from 1 species
UCCCAGACUCCUACGGGAGGCAGCAGUGAGGAAUAUUGGUCAAUGGGCGGGAGCCUGAACCAGCCAAGUCGCGUGAGGGAAGACGGUCCUACGGAUUGUAAACCUCUUUUGCCGGGGAGCAACGGGGUCCUUGCGAGGGCCCGAUGAGAGUACCCGGAGAAAAAGCAUCGGCUAACUCCGUGCCAGCAGCCGCGGUAAUACGGAGGAUGCGAGCGUUAUCCGGAUUUAUUGGGUUUAAAGGGUGCGUAGGGGGGUGGUUAGGUAGGGGGUAAAAUGUGGGGGCCCACCCCCGGCCCGCCGUUGAAACUGGCAGUCUCGAGUUGGAGAGAAGUAUGCGGAAUGCGCGGUGUAGCGGUGAAAUGCAUAGAUAUCGCGCAGAACUCCGAUUGCGAAGGCAGCAUGCCGGCUCCACACUGACGCUGAGGCACGAAAGCGUGGGUAUCGAACAGGAUUAGAUACCCGAGUA